AUUGCAAAAGUUUAAUUGAAUUAUUAAAAGGACAUUCUAAGUUUGUUUCUGAAAUUUAUCACAGUAUUCUAUCUUUAGAUGAAGAUCAGCUGUCCCAUGACCUACAACCAGGUCAUAAUCACGUAUGCUGAAAAAGACACCAUUCAAAGCACUCUCUCCAACAUAGAUGGAAGGGCCCUUAUCAGCCACCGAAAUCUCUGCUUGGUUGCUUCAGUGGUCAGCUAAUGUUUGCACAGAGAUCGCCUUAAAUACCUGCAACCAAUAUCUGCUAAAUAUCUCCCUUCUCUCUGAGAAAUGCCUUGUGAAUGAGAACCGUUGCCUGCCAUAUUGGUAAACAAAGGAUGUUGCAGCCAUCAAGCCACUGCAGAUGACCCAAGAGUGAGCCCUGACGGAACUCAGGAUGGAGACAAACAGGCUGCCCGCUGCCAUGCCCUCAGCCACUGCAGCUGCCACCAACUGUGCACCCUGAGAGGACUCAGGAUGGGAAAGAACUGGCACCAGAGAGCUAAGGUUCUUAAUCAAAGUAAUGAUUUCAACGAGCCCAGACUCUUGAAUCUUUCACACAUAGAAAAGUGCUAAAUUCAUUAACUUGAGAUGUCUAUUUUUCUGAUUAAUUAACAGUAAUCUUUUGAAGUUCCAACUACCUAGUUAGUCUUUGUUGCAAAACCUCCUAUAUAUCCCAGCUCCUCCCUUACCUCU